GUGCUUGCUUCAGCAGCACACAUACUGAAAUUGGUACAAAGAAGAUUAGCAUGGCCCCUGCUCAAGGAUGAUACGCAAAUUCAUGAAGCAUUCCAAAUUUUC
ensembl:snRNA U6 U6 spliceosomal RNA